rnacentral:rRNA from 1 species
UACGGAGGGUGCAAGCGUUGUUCGGAAUCACUGGGCUUAAAGCGCGUGUAGGCGGAGUGUCAGGUGCUGUGUGAAAUCCCCGGGCUCAACCCGGGAACUGCGCGGCAAACCGGCAUUCUUGAGGCAAGUAGAGGUGACUGGAACGACCGGUGGAGCGGUGAAAUGCGUAGAUAUCGGUUGGAACGCCAGAGGCGAAAGCGGGUCACUGGGCUUGUCCUGACGCUGAGACGCGAAAGCGUGGGGAGCAAACAGG